CUAGCCGUAAACGAUGGAUACUAGGCGUUGCCGGGCUCGACCCUGGCAGUGUCGGAGCUAACGCGUUAAGUAUCCCGCCUGGGAAGUACGCACGCAAGUGUGAAACUCAAAGGAAUUGACGGGGGCCCGCACAAGCGGUGGAGUAUGUGGUUUAAUUCGAUGCAACGCGAAGAACCUUACCAGGGCUUGACAUGUCGCGAACCCCGCUGAAAGGUGGGGGUGCCUUCGGGAGCGCGAACACAGGUGG
rnacentral:rRNA from 1 species